ensembl:snoRNA small nucleolar RNA, H/ACA box 51
AUCCUCCUCAUGCUUACCACAGACCGAGCAUCAGAAUACUGUCUGUAUAGAAACAGGAGGUACAUAAAUCUCCAACACUGGUGCAGUGCUGGCUGAUGUCUGGUAAGGCAGCUUUGUUGGGUGAGACAUCG